rnacentral:rRNA from 1 species
AGAGUUUGAUCCUGGCUCAGGAUGGACGCUAGCGGCAGGCUUAACACAUGCAAGUCGAAGGGCAGCGAGGGGAGUGCUUGCACUCCCUGUCGGCGACUGGCGCACGGGUGAGUAACACGUAUGCAACCUGCCCUCCACAGGGGGACAACCUUCCGAAAGGGAGGCUAAUCCCGCGUAAAUUCCCUGGAGGCAUCUCCGGGGGAGGAAAACUCCGGUGGUGGAGGAUGGGCAUGCGGCGCAUUAGGCAGUCGGCGGGGUAACGGCCCACCGAACCGACGAUGCGUAGGGGUUCUGAGAGGAAGGUCCCCCACACUGGUACUGAGACACGGACCAGACUCCUACGGGAGGCAGCAGUGAGGAAUAUUGGUCAAUGGACGCGAGUCUGAACCAGCCAAGCCGCGUGAAGGAUUAAGGCCCUACGGGUCGUAAACUUCUUUUGUCAGGGAACAAAAGUGGGGACGAGUCCCCAUCUGCGUGUACCUGAAGAAAAAGCAUCGGCUAACUCCGUGCCAGCAGCCGCGGUAAUACGGAGGAUGCGAGCGUUAUCCGGAUUUAUUGGGUUUAAAGGGUGCGCAGGCGGUCUGUUAAGUCAGCGGUAAAAGCCCGGGGCUCAACCCCGGCGAGCCGUUGAAACUGGCGGACUAGAGAGGAAGAGAAGUAGGCGGAAUGCGCGGUGUAGCGGUGAAAUGCUUAGAUAUCGCGCAGAACUCCGAUUGCGAAGGCAGCCUACCGGCUUCUAUCUGACGCUCAGGCACGAAAGCGUGGGUAUCGAACAGGAUUAGAUACCCUGGUAGUCCACGCAGUAAACG